AACGAACGCUGGCGGCAUGCCUAACACAUGCAAGUCGAACGAGACCUUCGGGUCUAGUGGCGCACGGGUGCGUAACGCGUGGGAACCUGCCUUUAGGUUCGGAAUAACUCAGGGAAAUUUGAGCUAAUACCGGAUGAUGUCUUCGGACCAAAGAUUUAUCGCCUUUAGAUGGGCCCGCGUUGGAUUAGCUAGUUGGUGGGGUAAAGGCCUACCAAGGCGACGAUCCAUAGCUGGUCUGAGAGGAUGAUCAGCCACACUGGGACUGAGACACGGCCCAGACUCCUACGGGAGGCAGCAGUGGGGAAUAUUGGACAAUGGGCGAAAGCCUGAUCCAGCAAUGCCGCGUGAGUGAUGAAGGCCUUAGGGUUGUAAAGCUCUUUUACCCGAGAUGAUAAUGACAGUAUCGGGAGAAUAAGCUCCGGCUAACUCCGU
rnacentral:rRNA from 1 species